ensembl:lncRNA
GAAGCUGGUGGAUCACUUGAGACCAGGAGUUGGAGACCAGCCUGGGCAACAUGGCGAAACCCCUUCACUGAAAAUACAAACAUCAGCCAGAUGUGGUGGCAAGUGCCGGUAGACCCAGCUACUCACUCUGCAGGCUGAGGCUGCAGAAUCGCUUCAACCUGAGAGGGGGAUGUUGCAGUGAGCCCAGAUCGUGCCACUACACUCCAGCCUGGGCCACAGAGAGAGACUGUGUCUCAAAUAAAUAAAUACAUAAAUAAAAUAACUAUUGAACAAAAACAGAAUACUGAGUUACGAGAGAUGUAGACAUAGUAUAUACAGGGUCAGAAGAGUCUGUGCAGGGAAACAUCGAGAAGGCUCCAGAUCAAGGCUGCAUGCUGAACUUCUUGAACAUGGGAUCUGAUAUGAUUUGGCUGCGUCCCCACCCAAAUAUCAUCCUGAAUUCCCAUGUGUUGUGGGAGGGACCCGGUAGGAGGUAAUUGAAUCAUGACGGUAGGUCUUUCCCGUACUGUUCUCGUGAUAGCGAGCAAGUCUCACGAGAUCUGAUGGUUUUAAAAAGGGGAGUUUAAGUGCACGGGCUCUCUGCCUGCUGCCGUCCACGUAAGAUGAGAGUUGCUUCUCCUUGCCUUCCAUCCUGAUUGUGAAGCCUACCAAGCCAUGUGGAACUGACACCCAUACUGGAGACCCAGCAGAGGAGGUGCACAGUCAGAAUGAUGAGAACAACGCAUCUCCAAAUGCGAGAGAGGACAUCAAAGAGCUGCAUGUGCUCGGCUGUGUCUCUCCGAGACUGUGACUACGACAACAGGCACUCUAUGGGCUAUUUUGAUGGUUCUUAGUUUCACAACACGUGAGUCUCACUCUGUUGCCCAAGCUGGAGUGCAGUUGCACCAUCUCUGCUCACUGCAGCCUCUACCUUCUGGGUUCAAGCGAUUCUCCUGCCUCAGCCUCCCAAGCAGCUGGGACUACAGGUGCUUUCUAUUCAGAAAAGGAUAAAAUACCUUGGAGAGAAAUAAGAUGGAAGAGGGAAGAAUUUCAAUUUUGGAUUAUUAUUUUUAGCUGGACAAAUUGAGAGCAAAAAGUUCUCAAAUUUUAUGUGAAAGAAGAUUUAUGAGAUAUGAAUGAACUGCUGUCAUUAGAUACCGCCUUAUUAUAUGCCAGCUGGUCAUCAGCAUGGCAGGAGUUCAAUGUGAAGAACGAUUGCAGGGAAUAAAUUCUCCAUUCUUCACACAUGGAGCUGAUGUUCUGGACCUGUCAUCACUUUGCCCUAAUCCACUGGUGCGUUCUGACCUGAGGUGGUCGGGCACCAGGACCCCAGGAGGCUGUGGGAUGUGAGGGGCCAGCCUGUUGGAGCCCACAUGGGACCAGGUGGAACUUGCAAGACGCAGCCUUCUCCCAGACAGCAGAUCUGAGGGUAGCAGCCAGCAAGCCAGGACUUGCAUCCCGUCUGCCACUUACUUCCUAUCUGCAUGAACUUAAAGACUUUUAGCCUCUCUCAGCCUCAGUUUUCUUACCUAUAAAGUGGAUGAAAAUUAUGCCCACAUCAAAGGACUUUAUAGGCUAACAGUACUUGUUGAGCACCUUACGCUUAGCCUGGCAUACAGUUAAUAUGUAGUAAAUUAUUAUUUUUCAAAAUAGCAAAACUAAUACUCUUAAAUUUGGCCCAGUUGAUACCAAGCUCUAACCAAUGAUAUUAUAAGUCAUGCAUAUGUUUGUGGAAAAUAAACUCUGAAGAAUUUGGAUCAAUAGAGUGAAGGGAAAAGUUGAAUCGUUAUGGGGUUGAUGCAAGCCUAAAAGUUGUCUUGGAUCUGAAUUGGUAAGCAAUGCUUACUACUAAUUUAGCAGACUAAGGUCUGUUCUCACACUGCUGAUAAAGACAUACCCAAGACUGGGUAAUUUAUCAAUAAAAAGAGUUUAAUGGACUCACAGUUCCAUGUGGCUGGGGAGGCCUCACAAUCAUGGCAGAAGGCAAUAGGCACAUCUUACAUGGUGGCAAACAAGAGAGAACAAGAGCCAAGUGAAAGGGAUUUCCCCUUAUAAAACCAUCAGAUCUCGUGAGACUUA